rnacentral:sRNA from 1 species
CCCCUUAUGUCUUGGGCUACACACGUGCUACAAUGGUCGGUACAAACAGUUGCGAUCUCGUAAGAGGGAGCUAAUCUGAAAAAGCCGAUCUCAGUUCGGAUUGAGGGCUGCAACUCGCCCUCAUGAAGCCGGAAUCGCUAGUAAUCGCGAAUCAGCAACGUCGCGGUGAAUACGUUCUCGGGUCUUGUACACACCGCCCGUCACACCAUGAGAGUUGAUAAUACCAGAAGUCGGUAUUCUAACCGCAAGGAGGAAGCCGCCCAAGGUAGGAUUGAUGAUUAGGGUGAAGUCGUAACAAGGUAUCCGUACGAGAACGUGCGGAUGGAUCACCUCCUUUCUAUGGAGUUAAUACUUUAUAGUAAUUAACUAGUUUUAAUGACCGUUAUGUUUAGUUUUCAGAGAUUAGUUUCUCUGACAAUAACAAGUAAAUGUUAUUGGAAUUGUUCUUUGAAAACUGGAUAAUAGACAUCUAGUUAUUUUAAUCACAUGAUUAAAAUAACAAUAAUUCAAAAUUUCUGUUAUUUUUAAAAAAUAACUAAAAUUUCACAGUUAUAUUUGUAAAUGAUUCUCAAAAAACUGAUUUAAAAUCAGGUCAAAUAAUUUAUAAAACUUUGAAGUUACAAAGGGCGUAUGGUGAAUGCCUUGGGAAUAGGAGACGAUGAAGGACGUGACUACCUGCGAUAAGGUUCGGGGAGCUGGAAGUAAGCUUUGAUCCGGACAUGUCCGAAUGGGGAAACCCGGUGAGAUUAAUCUCUCAUCAUCCUAUAAUGAAUAAAUAGUUAUAGUGAAGGUAUACCUAGGGAAUUGAAACAUCUUAGUACCUAGAGGAAAAGAAAGCGAAUGCGAUUCUCUUAGUAGCGGCGAGCGAACGGGGAACAGCCCAAACCAGAUUUAUCUGGGGUUGUAGGACCAUAAUAGUAGAGUUACAAAACUUGUUUAUAGUAGAAAUGGUUGGGAAACCAUGCCGUAGAGGGUGAUAGCCCCGUAUACGAAAUAGACAAGACUCGAAAUGGAAUCCUGAGUACGGCGAGACACGUGAAAUCUUGUCGGAAUCAACGCGGACCACCGCGUAAGGCUAAAUACUACCUAUUCACCGAUAGUGAACCAGUACCGUGAGGGAAAGGUGAAAAGCACCCCGGGAGGGGAGUGAAAUAGUACCUGAAACCAUAUGCCUACAAGAAGUCGGAGCCCGUUAAUGGGUGACGGCGUGCCUUUUGUAGAAUGAGCCGGCGAGUUAUGAUAGCAUGCAAGGUUAAGUAGAAAAUACGGAGCCGUAGUGAAAGCGAGCCUUAAUAGGGCAUUUAGUAUGUUGUCAUAGACCCGAAACCAGGUGAUCUAGCCAUGAGCAGGUUGAAGUUGAGGUAAAACUUAAUGGAGGACCGAACCGACGUUCGUUGAAAAGACCGCGGAUGACUUGUGGCUAGGGGUGAAAUUCCAAUCGAACCUGGAGAUAG